rnacentral:rRNA from 1 species
AACCUCUGCAAUAGGCGAAAGCUUGACAGGGUUACUCUGAGUGAUUUCCGUUAAGGAGAUCUUUUGGCACCUCUAAAAAUGGUGCAGAAUAAGGGGUGGGCAAGUCUGGUGUCAGCCGCCGCGGUAAUACCAGCACCCCGAGUGGUCGGGACGUUUAUUGGGCCUAAAGCAUCCGUAGCCGGUUCUACAAGUCUUCCGUUAAAUCCACCUGCUCAACAGAUGGGCUGCGGAAGAUACUAUGGAGCUAGGAGGCGGGAGAGGCAAGCGGUACUCGAUGGGUAGGGGUAAAAUCCGUUGAUCCAUUGAAGACCACCAGUGGCGAAGGCGGCUUGCCAGAACGCGCUCGACGGUGAGGGAUGAAAGCUGGGGGAGCAAACCGGAUUAGAUACCCGGGUAGUCCCAGCUGUAAACGAUGCAGACUCGGUGAUGAGUUGGCUUUAUGCCAACUCAGUGCCGCAGGGAAGCCGUUAAGUUUGCCGCCUGGGAGUACGGUCGCAAUGAAAGUCCC